AAGACUUUAAGUUAAAAAAACUUUAUACCUUCAAAGUAUAAAUUACUAAAUGUAAGUCUUA
rnacentral:tRNA from 1 species